ACGGGUGAGUAAUGUCUGGGGAUCUGCCCGAUAGAGGGGGAUAACCACUGGAAACGGUGGCUAAUACCGCAUAACGUCGCAAGACCAAAGAGGGGGACCUUCGGGCCUCUCACUAUCGGAUGAACCCAGAUGGGAUUAGCUAGUAGGCGGGGUAACGGCCCACCUAGGCGACGAUCCCUAGCUGGUCUGAGAGGAUGACCAGCCACACUGGAACUGAGACACGGUCCAGACUCCUACGGGAGGCAGCAGUGGGGAAUAUUGCACAAUGGGCGCAAGCCUGAUGCAGCCAUGCCGCGUGUAUGAAGAAGGCCUUCGGGUUGUAAAGUACUUUCAGCGGGGAGGAAGGCGAUGUGGUUAAUAACCGCGUCGAUUGACGUUACCCGCAGAAGAAGCACCGGCUAACUCCGUGCCAGCAGCCGCGGUAAUACGGAGGGUGCAAGCGUUAAUCGGAAUUACUGGGCGUAAAGCGCACGCAGGCGGUCUGUUAAGUCAGAUGUGAAAUCCCCGGGCUUAACCUGGGAACUGCAUUUGAAACUGGCAGGCUUGAGUCUCGUAGAGGGGGGUAGAAUUCCAGGUGUAG
rnacentral:rRNA from 1 species